AGCGUUCUGGUUUUUUUUUUCUUUUGAGGUUUAUAAGGCAGAAAAAGGAAGAGCUAAGUAAUACAUGUUUCAGCCUCUGGAAAUACACAGAAUCAUUAGGGUAGAACAUUUUGUAUUUUAUAACCUUGUCUUUUGAUUCAGAUCUGGCUCCCCCCCUUUCCUCCUACUAAACUGUAAGCUCCAGCAAAGGCAGUAAUUAUGUCUCAGGGCCUCAAUGGUAUCUGACCCUUAGUUGAUACUUCAUAAAAAUGUGUUGAUCAUGAUUGAAUUCUUUAUCACCUCAUUCCUAAAUUUAGUGAUUGUGAAAGAUGCUAGGAUAAGUCCUCAAAUUUUCAUUAUUUGACAGGAUUAUAAAUGCUAAUGUUCCGUUUGUUUAUAAACAUUUUUUUAACUUAUGUUUAGUCGUUAUUCUUUAAGAAAAAAUUGAGAGGAUUUUUUUGUUGUUUUUAAGUGAAGUGUGUGAAUACAGAUAGGGAUCGGCUCAGUGUACAAUAGAGAAACAAAAAACCUAGGAUCAUUGGCUUCAAUGAUUGUCAAGAAGCAGUGCAGUGCAGUGGGUGGAGUGUGGACUCUGGAACCA
rnacentral:lncRNA from 1 species